UACGGAGGGGGCUAGCGUUGUUCGGAAUUACUGGGCGUAAAGCGCGCGUAGGCGGCUUUGUAAGUCAGAGGUGAAAGCCUGGAGCUCAACUCCAGAACUGCCUUUGAAACUACAUCGCUAGAAUCAUGGAGAGGUUAGUGGAAUUCCGAGUGUAGAGGUGAAAUUCGUAGAUAUUCGGAAGAACACCAGUGGCGAAGGCGACUAACCGGACAUGUAUUGACGCUGAGGUGCGAAAGCGUGGGGAGCAAACAGG
rnacentral:rRNA from 1 species